rnacentral:rRNA from 1 species
UAACGCUGGCGGCGUGCCUAAUACAUGCAAGUCGAGCGAGCUUGCCUAGAUGAAUUUGGUGCUUGCACCAAAUGAAACUAGAUACAAGCGAGCGGCGGACGGGUGAGUAACACGUGGGUAACCUGCCCAAGAGACUGGGAUAACACCUGGAAACAGAUGCUAAUACCGGAUAACAACACUAGACGCAUGUCUAGAGUUUAAAAGAUGGUUCUGCUAUCACUCUUGGAUGGACCUGCGGUGCAUUAGCUAGUUGGUAAGGUAACGGCUUACCAAGGCAAUGAUGCAUAGCCGAGUUGAGAGACUGAUCGGCCACAUUGGGACUGAGACACGGCCCAAACUCCUACGGGAGGCAGCAGUAGGGAAUCUUCCACAAUGGACGCAAGUCUGAUGGAGCAACGCCGCGUGAGUGAAGAAGGGUUUCGGCUCGUAAAGCUCUGUUGGUAGUGAAGAAAGAUAGAGGUAGUAACUGGCCUUUAUUUGACGGUAAUUACUUAGAAAGUCACGGCUAACUACGUGCCAGCAGCCSGGGGUUAAUAA